rnacentral:rRNA from 1 species
GAUGAACGCUGGCGGCGUGCCUAAUACAUGCAAGUCGAGCGAACGGACGAGAAGCUUGCUUCUCUGAUGUUAGCGGCGGACGGGUGAGUAACACGUGGAUAACCUACCUAUAAGACUGGGAUAACUUCGGGAAACCGGAGCUAAUACCGGAUAAUAUUUUGAACCGCAUGGUUCAAAAGUGAAAGACGGUCUUGCUGUCACUUAUAGAUGGAUCCGCGCUGCAUUAGCUAGUUGGUAAGGUAACGGCUUACCAAGGCAACGAUGCAUAGCCGACCUGAGAGGGUGAUCGGCCACACUGGAACUGAGACACGGUCCAGACUCCUACGGGAGGCAGCAGUAGGGAAUCUUCCGCAAUGGGCGAAAGCCCGACGGAGCAACGCCGCGUGAGUGAUGAAGGUCUUCGGAUCGUAAAACUCUGUUAUUAGGGAAGAACAUAUGUGUAAGUAACUGUGCACAUCUUGACGGUACCUAAUCAGAAAGCCACGGCUAACUACGUGCCAGCAGCCGCGGUAAUACGUAGGUGGCAAGCGUUAUCCGGAAUUAUUGGGCGUAAAGCGCGCGUAGGCGGUUUUUUAAGUCUGAUGUGAAAGCCCACGGCUCAACCGUGGAGGGUCAUUGGAAACUGGAAAACUUGAGUGCAGAAGAGGAAAGUGGAAUUCCAUGUGUAGCGGUGAAAUGCGCAGAGAUAUGGAGGAACACCAGUGGCGAAGGCGACUUUCUGGUCUGUAACUGACGCUGAUGUGCGAAAGCGUGGGGAUCAAACAGGAUUAGAUACCCUGGUAGUCCACGCCGUAAACGAUGAGUGCUAAGUGUUAGGGGGUUUCCGCCCCUUAGUGCUGCAGCUAACGCAUUAGGCACUCCGCCUGGGGAGUACGACCGCAAGGUUGAGACUCAAAGGAAUUGACGGGGACCCGCACAAGCGGUGGAGCAUGUGGUUUAAUUCGAAGCAACGCGAAGAACCUUACCAAAUCUUGACAUCCUUUGACAACUCUAGAGAUAGAGCCUUCCCCUUCGGGGGACAAAGUGACAGGUGGUGCAUGGUUGUCGUCAGCUCGUGUCGUGAGAUGUUGGGUUAAGUCCCGCAACGAGCGCAACCCUUAAGCUUAGUUGCCAUCAUUAAGUUGGGCACUCUAAGUUGACUGCCGGUGACAAACCGGAGGAAGGUGGGGAUGACGUCAAAUCAUCAUGCCCCUUAUGAUUUGGGCUACACACGUGCUACAAUGGACAAUACAGAGGGCAGCGAAACCGCGAGGUCAAGCAAAUCCCAUAAAGUUGUUCUCAGUUCGGAUUGUAGUCUGCAACUCGACUACAUGAAGCUGGAAUCGCUAGUAAUCGUAGAUCAGCAUGCUACGGUGAAUACGUUCCCGGGUCU